CAACCUCGGUCUGAAGGUGUUGUGGAGCGGUCGCUCACACUUAGAAGUGAGUGUGCCGGGCUCAUAUAAGGGCCACACCUGUGGCCUCUGUGGAAACUUCAACAACUACCAUCAGGAUGACCUUCAAAUGCCCAGCGGACAACUCAGCCCAUCAGAAGCUGAAUUUGGCAACAGCUGGAUGGUAAAACAAACAGAAGUCACAAAUGGUAGUCAUUCUCACUCAUCGUGUCACCCCGGUGAGGAGGUCGAUCCCUGUAAGGAUGCAGGCUACCAGGCCAGGAAGAGUGCCAAUGCCCGUUGUAAGGUCCUUAAAUCUGC